GUUCAAAGAACUACAGGUGCAGGACUUACACGAGUGAACUUUGUCGGCUACUGAGCAUUCGCUGUUACUUGGCAUUCAUAAUAUAUUUCUUAUUUAAAAGGAUAACGAACUAGCCACGUUACAUGGUGCUCGAGCAUUUAAGAGUUUUGUGGACAAAAAAGGAAGUCGAAAACCAGAAUUCCUCUCUGUGGUGGAAAAGUUUCAAGAAGAAGAUAGAAGUAUUGACACUCGAACUACGUUACCAUCUGUUACUGUUGCAACAGGUUCUACAAGUCCAGCACGACUUUAUUAAUGAAUUCAUGCAUAUAUUGUACAUAAUCAUGUAAAUAUUAUUUAAUAAAAAUACAAUACGUGCUUUGCAUGAUUCCAGCUG